GAGGGGAAACAUUUGGAACAGCUGCAGUAAGGAAUGCAAGAGGGAGUCAACAAGCAAUAAAUAAAAGAAUUGCUGAGAUACAAUGAGAGUCCAGCUGAGGUCAGUUGACUCGGUCACUAUUGUUUAGUGACUUGCUUCAGUUUAUCAAUAUGGGAAGAGAAAUUGGGCAAUAGGAGUUAUUGAAAUGUGGAGAUCGGUAAAGUGGAAAUAACAGAAGAAUGAAGAGGGAGACACAGGCAGGUUCAUAGAGCCGGAGACCGAAUACUCUUGAUAAAUAUCCAUUGGAUGAAUGAACAUGUUAAGAAGGACCACUCAGUUAAUUCAUGUAAUUUGGGGGACAAUGCAUCUCUGCGCCAAGAUCAAGUUACUGAGGGAUCAGGAGCGGCAGGAGAGACCACCGGCGAAGAACAGCUGUCUCAUGAAACAGCAGGAAAGAGUGCUCCAGGAAGGACAAGAGGGACCCCAAAGAAAGGUGCACAUUCAGAAGAGUUCAAUUUAGGAUGUUGCAGAAAUAACUCUGUAGAAGCCUCAGGGCCUAGACUGAGAAAAGAAAUGGAAUGGAACUUCAGUGGCCUGUGGGACUGUAAUAAAAGAUCUAAUAUUUGUGUCAUUGGAUUCCAGAAAGAGAGGAGAAAGAGGGAGAAGCAGAAAAAGUAUUCAAAACAAAAAUGGUGGAAAACUUUUCAAAUUUGCCAAAAGACAUAAGUGUACAUAUUUUAAAAGCUGAAGGAAUUCCAAAUAGGAUAAAUGCAAACAAACCCACACCAAGAAACACCCUAGAGCAGCUUCUGAAAACUAAAGACAAAGAAAGAAAACUUGAAAGCAGUGAGAAAGAAGUCGCCUCACCUAUGGGGGAAAAACAAUUAGAAUGAUAGCAGUCUUCUCAUCAGAAAUCGUGGAAGCCAGAAAGAAGUGGUUCAACAUUUUUCAAGUGCUGAAAGGAAAGAGUCCCAUAUACUGAGGAAAUAUUCUUCAGGAACCAAGGAAAAAUCAAGGCAGUUACAGAUGCAGAAAAAGUAAGAAAAUUUGUUAUCAGCAGAUCUAAAAGAAUGACCAAAGGAAGUUACCUAAACAGAAAGGAAGUGAUAAUGAGAGACGAUGGAAUCUUGGAACAUUGAGAGGGAAGAAAGAACAAUAGAAAGAGGAAAAACACACGUAAAUAUAUCCUUCUCCUGUUGAGUUUCCCAAAUUUUAUUUCAUUGUUGAAACAAAAUAUAUGACACUAUUUGCUAUGGUUCUAGAUAUAUAGAGAGGAAAUAUUGAAGAUAAUUAUAAGUGGUAGAGAGUAAAGGGAUGUUAAAAUAGGACAAGUUUCUACACUUCACCCAAACUGCUAAAUAUCUUGUGGAUAAUGAGAGCCAAUUUUCUCUGUCAGGGACAGGAGUUAAAAAUAAAGGGAGAGACAAGGCCAGGACAGAUCUUGUGGUAUUGCACCGGACUCAGAAAUAUUAAUACAAAAUCAUGCUUAAAAAUUUUAAAAUAUGUACAGUUAGAUAUCAAUAUAAAUGUGUGAGUACGUAUGCAUACAUACAUUUAUUUCCUAGCUCAAAUUAUUCUAAAAGUAAUCACACCCAAAUAACAAUGAAUAAAUCAAAGUGCUGAGAUAUUUAUUUAUAAAUAGCAUUUUCCAAUGAAAGGGAGUGGAUGUUUCUAGGUCUGAGGCAGAGACAGUACAAGAUGAACUUGGAACAUCAAUCAUCAAUCAUAUGAACAUCAAUCAAAGUAAGAAAGUGCUCAAAAAGGAUAAUGCCAUAUCAAAAGAGCUCAGGAGUCAACUUGAAAAGCUACCAGUGGCCAAAUCUGGGACAUUUUUAGCCACAACAUAAUAAUGCUACACAAUAAUAAUAAUACAUUAGUAUUAUAGCCCAUAAACUAAAAAAGCAAAUAUUCAUUGGUUUACCCUGAUAUGAAUAAUAAAUAAGUAAAUAAAAAGAUGGAAAUAUGGAUAGAUAGAAAAUAGAAAGGGGAAAACUUUUCCUUACAGUACAAUUUGAAUAUAUAAAUAGAGAAAGAAUCAUAGAAAUUGAAAAUCAUCAUUUGUAGACACACUGUAAUAAUUGUCCUUGGCAAGUAUCAUCAACGUAUGCUAAAAUUAGUUGGGGUAAGUAUUAUGAGAAACAGGAUAUUUGGCAAGUUCAAAGUAUCUCUCCAUAAGGUGCUUAUCAAUUAAAAUUAAAAUUCAUUGAUUUUAUGGGGCAGAAAGUUGGCAGACACCACCUUAACACAGUUAUCAAAGCUAUAUCACUAAUAAUGAGACACGUUGUCAUUAUGUACUUGAUAAAUGAGGCACUGAGGAGGGUACAACUAAUUUCUGUGUUACUCUCGCCAAAAAAUGUAUGACUCAGACUGAAGGAGAAAUGUAAACUAAAUACAAUGAGGGAUCCUGGUUAUUAGGAUGGUAAAAAGAAAUUAUUGGGAC
ensembl:lncRNA